AAGAGAGUUUGGCUCCGGACGCCGACCAACCAGAGAUUGAGAUUAGGAUGCUGCUGCUGCUGCUGCUUUAUUCGGACGUGACACCACCACUGUACCGCCACCGCACUCACCCGGCCGGCAAGCUACAUACAUUACAUGACCAGAGAAGGCGCAGCGGGGAGGGCAGAUUCCUCUGCCAAAGAUUUCCCCACCUUCCCGAAUUGAAUUUCACCACAGGCCAGAGGCGUUCGUCCCCUGCUUCCCGGAUCAUCGUUACUUACUUGAUCUGGCCACGGUUCUGGAAGUUUCACCGACUUGGUUGCUUUGAAUAGGAGUAUGAACUAUCACCAACUUGGUGAACAGUUAUUUUUAUGGGAAUAGAAAAGCUCCAUAAGCAGCCCUCUGGUCGUCUGGUUGAAUCCCUUAAAAUGGAGAGGGUUAGGACCAUUCUGACUCAUGGAUACCCAUACCCACAUAAGAACUCGAGACAUUUCAUGAUUAGAAAGACUAUCAAGCCAGACUAUUCAAACUUUAGUCGUUGGUACGUUGCUUGGAUAUUCUUGGCCGCAUUAACCAUCGCCCUAGUUUUCAGUCAAUGGGGUUGGAUUUGAGGAUGAAUCUUUCCCUCUUCCUCGCUGUUUAUAUUUCCUCUCUAGUUUUCUUUAUCAUCUUCCACGUCAUAUUUCUUGGACUCUGGUAUUUGGAUCUUAGUUUCUCGCAUGGCACAGAAAAAGCCAGAGAUGCUUACUAUAGUCCAAAAUUGUGCAGUGAUAAGUAUAGCUUGCUGCGUGUUCUACAGCCACUGUAGUAACAGGACUCUUUCAAGGGACCAAUCUUUUGAUCGUAGAACUGCUAGCUUGGUUGCAUUUUCACUAUGGAGAAAGCAAAAUGAGGACAAGAGACUGAUUUCAAAGCAAUUGCCUAUGCAUAAGCUUAAGGGCCAGAUUUGCUCGUCCUGGUUUGCUCCGGUUGGCUCUGCCAGUGAUUACCCACUUCUAUGGAAAUGGGCCAUUUAUGGAGAAUUAGCUUCCAAUGGAUCUGAACACUCCAACAUCAUUUCACCUGUCUACUCUUUGUGGGUUACAUUCAUUGGUCUUACAUGGCCAAUUAUGUCGUGGAGCGGUCAACUGGAUGGGCUCUAAAUCAUCCUUUAACAAUUUCGGAGUAUGAGAAUCUGAAGAAACUGUUGAAACCGGAUUUUGAGGACAUGGUUCCUUGGUAUUCUGGGCUGCUAUGAACAAAGGUCCAGACGAAUCUAAGAGCAGCUACCUUUUGUACAAUCAUCUUGAUGGAAAAGACGAACUUUGGUUUGACUUCAUUGCAGAUACCGGCGAUGGGGGCAACUCUACAUAUGCUACAGCACACUUACUUGCUCAGCAUUCUUUAGUGUAAAAUCUGAUGAUUCGAGGCUUAUAUUUCCCCGUGGAAAACUACUAAUUGGUGGAAACCUCAUAUAUCCAAAUCCAUGCUCAUUUACAUAUGAGCAGUGUUUUUCCGCCCUUUUGAUUAUGCUCUCCGGCCUCCUGCUUGGUAUACGCCUGAACACAUAACAUUGGAAAAACCUGAACUUCCUCUUGGAGUUUAUGAGCUCAGGCAGUAUAGCCGAUCACAGUGUUUUUAUGAUUCCUGGAAACCACGGUAAAUAUUACCUACCUAUGAUCUGCAUUGUACUUUGCGUCUUAUGACAUUCAUAUACCUGUCUUCUUCCUUGCC